rnacentral:rRNA from 1 species
CCGGUCAAUGGCGGCCGUAACUAUAACGGUCCUAAGGUAGCGAAAUUCCUUGUCGGGUAAGUUCCGACCUGCACGAAUGGCAUAACGACUUGAGCGCUGUCUCAACGUGGGACUCGGCGAAAUUGUACUACGAGUGAAGAUGCUCGUUUCUCCUGGCAAGACGGAAAGACCCUGUGGAGCUUUACUGUAGCUUGGCAUUGGGUCGCUGGAAGCGAUGCAGAGGAUAGGUAGGAGUCGGUGAAGCGUCCCUUGCGGGGGGCGUGGAGACAACGGUGGAAUACUACCCUUCGCUUCCGGCGACUCUAACUCUGUCCCUGAGCGGGAGAGGGAACAGUGCCAGGUGGGCAGUUUGACUGGGGCGGUCGCCUCCUAAAAAGUAACGGAGGCGUGCAAAGGUUCACUCAAGACGGUUGGCAAUCGUCUGGAGAGCGCAAUGGUAGAAGUGAGCUUAACUGCGAGAGGGACAUCUCGAGCAGGCACGAAAGUGGGCCAUAGUGAUCCGACGGUGGAAAGUGGGAUCGCCGAAGCUCAACGGAUAAAAGCUACCCCGGGGAUAACAGGCUUAUCUCUCCCAAGAGUCCAUAUCGACGGGGAGGUUUGGCACCUCGAUGUCGGCUCGUCGCAUCCUGGGGCUGGAUUCGGUCCCAAGGGUUGGGCUGUUCGCCCAUUAAAGCGGCACGCGAGCUGGGUUCAGAACGUCGUGAGACAGUUCGGUCCCUAUCUGCCAGGAGCGUUAGAGAGUUGUGGGAAGCUGUCCUUAGUACGAGAGGACCGGGAUGGACCGACCGCUGGUGUACCGGUUAUGCCGCCAGGUGUAAACGCCGGGUAGCUAUGUCGGGAACGGAUAAGCGCUGAAAGCAUCUAAGUGCGAAGCCGACCCCAAGAUCAACUCUCUUGUCAAGGUUAACCCCUUGGGUAAGACCCCUGGAAGAUCACCAGGUGAAUAGGUCGCAUGUUGAAGCGGGGUCAACCCGUGCAGCUAAGCGACACUAAUCGGUCGAGGGCUUGACUGC